rnacentral:lncRNA from 1 species
UGGUUUUGGGCCUUCGAUCUAUAUGUCCUAAAGAGGGAGGGACCUGGAGUUUGAAGUUAUCAACCAAAUUAAUGGAAAAAAGGAGCUAUGAUUAUUUUUGAAUUAUUGUUUAGAGGAAGAGAGAAAUGGAUUGAGUCUAUGUAUUGAUGUUUUUCUUUAAAGUAUAUCCUAAUGCACUCUUGCAUCCUUAUUGUGCAUUGAAACUUUUUUUUCUUCAUAUUGUCAUGAUAAUGAUAAUUUAUGUGGUUGUUUUUGUAAAUUGAAUUUGGCUUCAUAUGAUAUAAUGAGAUUGACCUAGAAAAUCUUAUACAUUGAAGGUUGAUGAGAGGAAAGGAAGGUAGAAAUAAUUCUCAUAUGUUGAAGAAUACUAUUUUGGAACUUGCUAUCAUGUCCUUCACAAAAUUCUUCUAUCAUCACUAAAAUUUCUCCUACCUAUAUUUUGAAUAGCACUCCUAUGUCUCAUAGCACUUCUAUCUAUUCUCAAAUAGUAGUAAUCUUCUUUCUAUAAAUGUCAUGGGUCAUAGAAAGUUCCAUUAUAAAAUUCGGUGUGAUGAUUCUCUUGAAGUGAGCAUAUGAUCAAUUAUGUUUAAC